CUACGGGCGGCACCAGUGGGGAAUAUUGGACAAUGGGGGAAACCCUGAUCCAGCAAUGCCGCGUGUGUGAAGAAGGCAUGCGGGUUGUAAAGCACUUUCGGUUGGGAGGACUGCUUCUAGCACUAAUAUUGUUGGAAGUUGACGUUACCUUCAGAAGAAGCACCGGCUAACUCCGUGCCAGCAGCCGCGGUAAUACGGAGGGUGCAAGCGGUAAUCGGAAUUACUGGGCGUAAAGCGCGCGUAGGCGGCUAGAUCAGUCGGGUGUGAAAGCCCCGGGCUUAACCUGGGAACUGCAUCCGAUACUGUCUAGCUUGAGUACAGGAGAGGAGAGUGGAAUUCCACAUGUAGCGGUGAAAUGCGUAGAUAUGUGGAGGAACACCAAUGGCGAAGGCAGCUCUCUGGCCUGAUACUGACGCUGAGGUGCGAAAGCGUGGGGAGCAAACAGGAUUAGAUACCCGGGUAGUC
rnacentral:rRNA from 1 species